rnacentral:rRNA from 1 species
AAUGAACGCUGGCGGCGUGCUUAACACAUGCAAGUCGUACGAGAAACCCCGGCUUGCCGGGGGAGUAAAGUGGCGCACGGGUGAGUAACGCGUGGGUAAUCUACCCUCGAAUUGGGGAUAACACACCGAAAGGUGUGCUAAUACCGAAUAAGACCACGACCUCCACGGGGGUUGCGGUCAAAGAUGGCCUCUGCUUGCAAGCUGUCGUUUGAGGAUGAGCCCGCGUACCAUUAGCUUGUUGGUGGGGUAAUGGCCUACCAAGGCAACGAUGGUUAGCUGGUCUGGGAGGAUGGCCAGCCACACUGGAACUGGAACACGGUCCAGACUCCUACGGGAGGCAGCAGUGAGGAAUUUUGCGCAAUAGGGGAAACCCUGACGCAGCAACGCCGCGUGAGUGAAGAAGGCCUUCGGGUUGUAAAGCUCUGUCAAGUGGGAAGAACCUUUUUCGGCCGAAUACGCCGAGAAACUGACGGUACCGCUGAAGGAAGCACCGGCUAACUCCGUGCCAGCCGCCGCGGUAA